CACUGCCACAGAUCCAAUUCAGAGCCCUUGAUCAAGCAAUGCUAUAAACCCUAAACUCUCAGAUAUUCAGGAUGCUUAGAUUGGAUUCUACUUCACCUUGGAUAAGAGCAUCUGGAAAAUGUUCACCACUUUAAAUGAGCUUUCUAAGUGCUUAAUUAAGUCAUUUGAGUAAUUGUGAUAUUUUACACUAAUGCCUGUUUAUAUUUACAAGCAGUUUCUAGUGCAGAGAAAAGAAGGAAGUGUGGAUCUUGACAUUGAUAUUACUGAUAUCAAUAACACAUGAGUAAUACAUUACAUUAAUAUUUUUAAUUUAAAUUUAUUUAUGUGAGUCUAUGGUCAUAAAGGUUCUAUAAAACCAAGUUUCCACCGAAUCACCCAAAAAAAAAAACCCAAAACAAACAAAACAAAAAAAAAAAACACCAUGCUGACUAGUUCUAAGUGGAACAGACAGAACCACAUAGUAGGACUCAUUCAAACUCAGACUGAUAAAAUCUUACAAUCUGACUAGCAAUAACAUACCCACAGGCAGCAACGGUCAUCAAUCAACAAAACAUCUCACACACGCAAAGAGAAGAUAUGUAGGAAAUUAUACAAUAUACAAUUUAGGGUACAAAUGCCUGGCCCCCAGGUAGCAUCUUCAAGGAAGUGUUUGAUAAUCUGGUUGAUGUAGAGUAUCUUUUAAAAACGCAUCUAUAAGUCUUAAAGGAUCAUGGUUGUAUCGUUAAGGACACAUUUACAUUAUUUGCACCUCAGAGAACAACAAUGUACCAGCUUUUUCCAGAUUGUACAGUUUGUAUCACCGUUUUAUUCAUAGGUGAACACUAGGUGCGAUGUGGGAAUACACCCACUAUGCACAAACACACAUUUGCUCCACCUGCCUGCAUGUUUUUUGGAGGUGGGAGGAAACCAGAGAACCCUGGGAGACCCUAUAUGGACAGGAGGAAAACAUGUAAAACUCCUCGCAGACAUUCAACCAGAGCUAAGAAUCAAACCAGAGAACCUGGAGCUGUCAGGUGGCAACAUCAGUUGCUGAUUUAGAGAUUUAGAGCAAUAAAUUAAUAUUAUAAAGCUAGCUUGCAAUAAUAAACUGUCACACCCUCAAUCCUAUAGUAUAUAGCCCACUCUGGACCAGAUAAAUCUGCCUCAGAGUAGUAGGACUGAAAUUCAUGUAAUGAACUGCUUGGAAACAAGCGUCAAUUAUUUCCAUCUAACAAACACAGACAUAUCAAAUACACUCACAUGCUUAAUGUCAGAACAAGUCUACUAUAGUGCACAUUAGAAUCAUUAUUAUAAGGUUAAUGAGUUUUAAAACACCAAAUGAAAUACAAUGCUGACAGGGCUAUGAAUAAAAUAUUGAAACUCUAUUGUAUUUGACAAUCAGUGCACUUCCAGAAAUCAGAUAUAAGAUGAUAUCUUAUCAGUACAGUACACAGCUCCAGCACUAAAUGCUAUAUUUGCAUUCCAUACUAAACAAAUUAAUAAUGUGUGCUUGAAUACAGCUGGUAUCUGAGGUUUUAAUUUCCUGUAAUGGCCUCGAUAACUGCUAUUUUAUUCUUGAUUAAAGCAUGUUAGUAACAGUGACAGGGCUGGUAGUGACAGGCCACAUUUUAGGCAAAAAAAGUCAAUAAAUUCCUUGAACCAAUUCAAAAACUUUACAAUGUCUGGUCAGUGUCAGAGAUAAUUUUCUUAAAGCACAAGAUAAGAAAUUCUGGAAAGGGCUUCAAGAAUGUUGCAGAAAUUCUUAUCAUGCCUAAUCUGUGUGUGAUCAAUAAUCAACAGCUGGAACAACCACCAAUGGCUGAAAAACAUAGAUUCCAACAAAAAAAAAUUAAUCCUGCCAAGACUGCAACACCUUUCUGGGAAAAAUCACACACACCCACUCAGAAGACUUUUCAAGACAGAGCAGCCCACCUCUCUGCUAUUAAUACCCACUGAUAAGGUGCUAUCUCUCCCCCGAGUGCCAUGUCUCUUUAUGGGCAAAAGCAGCAUCAAGCCACUGAGUACAGCUCAUCCAUGAACGUCAGCUAAAUCAAUUAGAGCUUUCUUAUCACUACUCUGCCUGUGGUUUUGCUGAGACAUACAUCAUUCACAUGUCCUCACUCAAUAGGCCUUCGGGAAGGAAGUCAAAAGUACAGAAUGAGCAACAAGACCAAACCAAAGUCUAGAGGUCUAGAGUAUGGUGAAACUAGCCACAACUGAGGAAAAGAACAAGGCUUUCCUGCACUGCAUGACCUCUGUAUCAUCUUAAGAACAAGAGAACAUGGUGGAACAAGGAUGAACAUGGACUACGGACUACCUACAACCUUUGAGCAACGUCUUAUCAUUUGCAGGCCUGAUAACGAAGCAUGAAAUGCACUGACGCUUCAUACCUGUGACCUUUCAUCCUCAGGACAAUGAUCUAAAGGAUACACUUAUCAUCUUACACCUUCCAUGUGAUGUAAGGACAAAGUCACAGUCAUUGUUCCUUUUAAAGCUAGCACCUCACAUAUGACAGCCCCCUAAACUGCCUCAUCACAUAAACCAACUGCUUUGAGAAGAUGCCAUGGCUGAAUUGCACUGAAUAAUGCACAAUUCAUCCCCGACUUUGCCGGAGUGAAUGACUGAUCAGAUAUGAAAAUUGUGGGACCAAGAAAGACCAUAUGAAUGUGCAGUGCUCCAAGAUUUUACAGCAUUCAUUCAUUCAUCCUUAUUAACUGCCUGGUCAGGGCCAUGGUAGUUUAAAUUAGGAUACUAGUUUUUUUAUAUUUUGGGAAAUAGAACCAACUAUAUUUGACAGAAAAUAUUGCAGGCAAGUACAAACAAGAAUAAUAACUGUGAGAGUGAGGUUAAAAAAGAAAACAAUUCUAAACACAUGUAGUUGAGACCAAUUAUGAAUGUGAUUGAUGUAGCUGUCAGAAUUCACAGACCAUGCUUCCCAUUUUAACUUCAGCUUAAAAAACGAAUACAAAUAUGGAUAUUUAGAGCACUUAACAGAUACAGAUACAGACAGUGGCAUUGCAUUACAUCUAUUCUAAUCCAUGCAAUCUUUUUUUUCAUGUAUUUAAGAUCAAACUAAUAACCGAAUGCCAAUUUUUACAUGCUUGUUCUGAACAAGUUCGUUUACAAGACUAUUACUGACACAGGACUUGAUUGAUCUGCACUUUUCUCUAGUGGAAUAUCAUAGGUUUUAUGGUUUAAUAUAGACAGUGUAGGUUGGCAUCAAUCCAUGUGCAUGUACAUGUUUAUUAAAAACAUGCAGGUAAAUGGA